ACUACUUUGCCUUUUAGUACGCGUUAUUUCUUGCCAUGCAUAAUGGAAACUAUAGAGUGGUUUCUUGGAAACAUAUUACUGUCAGUUACAUAGUAAUAACUUUGUCUGUAGUUUACGUUAGUAACCUAACGGCUCAAAAAUGCCAAGAAGAAAGUGAUUGCAAUAGUAAGUGUUCAAUAUGUGCCAUGGACGACCAAGAAGGGAACGAGUAGCCGAUGUAUUUUCCCAUAUCCAUACAGGUUCGUUUCAGACAAAUCUUGUGCACGGGUCAAGACUUGCAAGGAUAACUGUAAGCAUGGCACUUGUUACAAUAAAGAAGAAAAAUAUGUUCCUGGCUGCUUAUGUAAUUAUCCCUACACCGGUGUUACAUGUGAGGUCAAAGAGAAAGAUGAAUAUAUACGUUAUUUGCUAUACAGCCUUUUAUGGGAAUUUGACAGUCCUGUUUCUGUCGGAGAAUACACAAAACAAAGAUUCUUUACGCACAGUCGACCAAUAUAUACUAACUUUAGUCAAACAUGGCCAUCUGAUAUUACAGUUGAACAUGAUGGAGGUUAUUUUACCAAAUUCGAUUAUAGACCGUGGAGGCUUGAAGAAAUUGAUGAACAUAAUCAUUACCACUUCUAUAAUGCAGAAAUAAGAUUUCCUUUCAAGCCGUACGUUCCUGGAGUUGAUAACGGUGUUUUGAUACUCAAGAAUGUUGUCCUUGGAUACAUGGCUAAAUUUAAGGUUGCAUCAGGGAAAAGGACUGAAUGCAGCAUCACAAAGGAGUUCACACAUUUUGUAUCCUACAAAUCGUCUCAGUUAAAAUGCGUACCCGUAAUAAAACUGAUACAUUGUGGUUCCUCCAUAGAUAAUCCUAUAAAAUACUAUCGAUCAUCUAAUAUAGAGAUCCAGAGCAGUGUACGAUACAUUUCGGACGGAAGUUAUGUCUCUACUUCAGUUUACAAACCGGAUUGUGCUCAGAGUGCUACGAGUACGUGGAAGAUAUGGCAAACCGGAAAAAAGGACUGUCGACCUAGAUACAAUCUACACUCAGACAAUACUCCACCGAUGAAUGAAUACACGGCCAUUACAUCUUUACAAUACAAACCAUUUAAAUUGGAAUUUCACAGAUAUAAGAUUAUGCUUGAAGUAAGAAAUGCUCAAGUUGGAAAAUCUUCAAUAAACUUUUCAUAUUGCUACAUAGAAGUAGCAGAUUUGCCCUUAGUUGCUGUUAUAGACGGAAGCAACGAAAGAAAAAUUUAUCGGAAACAUGGUUUGUAUUUGAGUGCAAGUAAGUCAUACGAUCCAAAUGCGCCAGCCAAAAAGCAAUCACACUUAUUCGUUACGUGGACAUGUGUCAGUUCCAAUGACCCAGAAGGAGUGAGUGAAGUCUGUAAGCCCAAACAACUCACACCAUCCGACAGAUAUUUUAUAAUUCCACAUAUGUUGAGCUAUGACACCAAAUACAAUUUUACUCUAAAGGUUUGGACAAAUCUUUAUGAUGGUUUAAAUUAUACUACUGUGGCAAAUCAAUCGAGGUUUGCAAAUGUAGAGGUAGAAGUGUUUGGGGAAAACGAAAUGGUGCCGUAUGACAUUGAAAUUAUAUGUGCUACGAACUGUGGUGUAAAGGUGUUACCAAAUACGAUACUAUUUUUGAAGGCCAAAGAAAAGAAUAAUUUAUAUGAUGGCCUCGAAUUUACGUGGUCUUAUUCUAAGGAUAAUGGUACUGCACAGUCAUUGGAUUCCAUAAAAGAACAAAACUUGCCGGAUUUUAUGUUAAUAAUCAAAGAUAAUAGUUUAGACGGAGGAGUUGAAUACAAUGUAUUGCUUGAAGUGAAGUUAAAAGGUGAUUUGACUACAAUCUACAACUAUAAAUUUGAAACAGAGUCAAUUGGAACCAACGAAACCUGUGAUGUGGCCCCGAGUAAAGGCACUAAAGGAGAAACAAAAUUUGAUAUUGUUUGCUCUUAUAACGUGGAUUCAAACUUCAUAUAUGAAUUUUAUGAUAAAACUUCCGAAGAAGCUGAUGAAAAAACUAUAUUUAAUGGAAGAAUGUUGGGGACUACGUAUCGAGGAGAGUUACAUGAAGUCAAACUGACAAGAGGCAACGUCGUUGUGUAUCUAAUAAACAAUCAGAAUGGACUUUCACUCAGUAAACGUAUUUCCGUAACUCUAACUGAUUUGGAAAUGUCAGACUCUGAUUUGGAAGAAAGAUAUGACUCAAUAGAAGACAGCCUGUUGGCGGGGGAUAAUUUAAAGGGUCUACAGACUAUAUCUUACAUCGCGGACAUCAUACCUCCUGACAAGGAUAAGAGUGCGGUUUUAAACAGACUACUUGAAUACGUCACUCAGGUUUCAGUUACGACACUUUCGGAUGUGAAGAUGUGCACCUCAACAUUAACCAAUGUAUUAGUAGCUCUUAAUACACCCAAUCAGUUGGCAUUGAGUCCCAAUAUGAUGAUGGACACUCUGGAAGUGAUCAAGACACAAGCAAAUAUUUUUCAGCGAUUUGUCUUCGAUAGAGUUAUUUCACAAUGGAUGUCUGCUGAAGAAAUUAGACAGGUGGCAUCAGUUAUACUUACCUGUCUUAAUGCUGGAUUGAUGUGUAAGGAUCCAGGAACAGAGAAUGUGCCACCAGAUGACUUUAAGCUAAAACUUCUAAACGAGUUGAGAAGAGUAUCAAGAUUUACAGAGGAAACAAUAGAACUAACCAAAAAGGCAGUGAGCUACGUACAAACUUCAGGGCAGCCACCUUCCAAAGUGGCAUCUAGCGCAGAUAAAAUUGUUAUGUGGGCAAUGGAAGAUGAGGACUCUUAUCCCAUGAAUGACAUUUUGACGCAAAACACAGAUAUACCUGUAAACAUUUCCAGUUUACUGUUUCGGAGCCUACAGAAACAAACAACACCAGGAGCACACAUGGCACUUGCGGUCACACGCCUUACGGAUAACAUAUACUGGUGGCGUACUUCGGAUAUCAAAUCAGAUUUUGUAUCAAUUUCUCUUAACCGGCAAUUUCAACAAAAAAGAAUUGCAGUAACAGAACUUACUACGCCUCUCGACUUUAAAGUUAAAUUAAACAAAGACGUGGAGAGUGUUACAGUUACCGGCAUCACCACUCAGUUAGAUCCCAACAUGACUGAACUGGAUCUGGAACUAACAUUAAAUAUCCAUAGAAUCGACUGUCCUUCUAGAAGCCUUACGUCAAUUAAGUUUAAUUUCCCUCCAACUAACUCGUCUUUGCGAGUUUACGCUUUACCAGAUUUCAGGCCUGAUUACGAAAUGGUAACGAGUGAAUAUGUUAACAUAACCCAGAUCUCUCCUUUUUAUCCAGUUAUUUAUAACAAAGAAGAAGAACCAAGCUUUUUAUUCGUUGCAAUUCUUCCUGGAAUAGAGAUUCAAACAAAUGAGACCGUUCCUUAUUCCUUCGAAAUGAGUUCUGUUCUUUGUCAAUAUUGGGAUAAAGGUCAAUGGAGUUCACGUGGGUGUGAUGUAGAUCCCCGCACCAAGGAAAAGGACGUUCACUGUCAGUGCAAACAUUUGUCGGUGUUUGCGGCUGCAUUUCCUGUACCACCCCAGGAAAUAGAUCCUUUUGCAGAUGCCAAGUUGUUCCUUACAGUUCUUGACAAUCCGCUAGUUGUCGCUAUUGUUGCGAGUAUUCUGUUAGUAUACCUCCUCUUAAUCUUUUUUCUAUGGCGGCUGGAUAGAAAAGAUAAGAAACAGCGAACUGUAGUUGUGCUUGAAGACAAUUUUCCUGGCAGUCAUUAUCCAUACCUGAUCGCAGUGUACACCAGUUCGCGAGUUAACUCAGGAACCACAGCUCAUGUAGGAUUUAGAAUAAAUGGAUCUUUAGCAAAGAGUCGGGUACACAUCCUUUCAGCCAGAAAUCGCAAGAUUUUAAAAAGAAACACUGAUGAUUGGUUUUUGAUAUUUUGUGAUCAAUAUUUGGGUACACUCGAGAGUAUUCACAUAUGGCACGACAACUACGGGUCUAGUCCUGAGUGGUUUUGUGACAAAAUACACGUUUUUGAUCUAAAAGGCAACGUAGAGGCAAUAUUUGUCGUCAAGCAGUGGUUGUCUCUCACCUUAACAGAUUAUCCUGAAGCGAAAAUCAGAGUAGCUACUGAGGAGGACGUUAUGGGUGUAAAAUUAUUAUUUGUCGAUAAUUUUUUCCUUGGUAUGAGAGAAAGCCAUCUUUUUUUAAGUGUCUUUUUGAGACAUCCUAGAAGUGAAGUAAGCCGGAUACAAAGGAUUAGUGUCCUCUUAGCGUUUUUUAUGGUGGCAAUGUUAUGCAGUAUCAUGUUCUACAUUCCAGAAAAUGAGAAUAUGCAAUUAGAUGAUUUCCAGUACAAAUUCGGAUCAAGAGAAUUUUUUGUCAGCAUUCAAACUCUUAUUAUAAGCGGUAUAAUCGCCUUUAUCAUCAUGUUUACUUUUAGGAGAAGCUAUACCAUCAUAUAUGACGUUAAAUACAAGCCCUCACUGUACGUUAGGAGUGAUACUGAUUAUUAUUAUGAUGUUAAAGUCAGAAGACAAUCAGUCUUGUCUCUUCAGGCAAGUAAAGAUGGAGUUACAACUCAAGAAGUUACAACUCAAGAACAACAAAAUAAAUCCGUAUACCAGAACUUUGUUCGAUUGGUUGUAAAAAAUAUGAGAACACCACCUUUGCCACCAGUUCAGUUACCUCCAUUCUACAUAGUGAUUAAGAAGAGGAAAAUAUGGUUUACAUUGGCAUGGAUAUUUUGUAUUGCUGCAAUUUUUGUAUCUGCUUAUUUUGUGAUGCUUUAUGGAUUGAAACUUGGUCCAGUAAAAAGUAAAGAAUGGCUUUCGACAGUAUUAGCCUCUUCAGGGGCAGACACGUUUGUUUCAAGCCCAAUCAAGAUAAUAUUCUUCGCUAUUGCCUUGACUAUGGUAUUCCAGAGGAUGUAUGAAGUAAAUACCCAUGCAGUCAGCUACAAGGAAGCUAUGCGUUUAACCUUUGAAAAUAACGAAGAGCAUCUAGCCGAAGUAUUAGCUAAAAGAGAACUUCCGAUGUACGCUCCACUUACUCAAGCAAAGAGAUAUGAAAUGAUCCGAAAGAAACAGUUGAGGAAGGAUUGGUUUGAUCUACUAGACUUUGUCAUAUCCGCGUUCUUCGUCAUAGUUGUUUGUACUAUCAUCUCUAGACUGUGGAGUUCCCGAUAUCGCACAAACAAUCAACUGCAUACGGUAAUGACAAGAUCUCACUACAUUAACUUGGGAGCUGUUAACUUCUAUUCUAUUUCCAACAUUAAUCAAAUGGAAAAGUAUUUGGAGUACACAUUCAUGUAUGCAGCAUACAACACAAGAUGGUAUAAUGACGUCAAGUUUGUGAAGAAGAAUGAAGAGAUGAACGUGACACAGGAUUUGAAGAUCGGGGCGUACUGGCUAUCAGACUUUACUGGGAUAGUGUUAGGACUGCCCUUGUUGAGGCAGCUCCGCGUACACACAAAACCAUGUGGGAACCAAGUCAACCAAAAUGCAAGCUGCAUACCUGAACUCAGUAAAUCGCAUGCAGAUACCGACGUUUAUGCAGUGGGUUGGAAGUCUGCCCUCUAUUCUGACGUAUUGAAAAAUAACUCUCCUUGGAAGUACAUCAAAAAAGAUUCAACAUUCACAUUUACACUGUUCAGAUUAUAUGGUAAAUCCGGCAAGUUAUAUGAGCGUGGAGGGUAUGCUGUUACAUUGGGGCCUACAAGACAUGAAGCAGACAUUAGUCUGGUACAACUAAGAAGAAACAAUUGGCAAGACAAGUUAACACGAGUCGUAAUUAUAGAGCUGACUGUCUACAACAUUAAUCUGGACCUCUUGAGUCAAGUCACUCUCAUUGCAGAGUACAAGAUUACUGGCAAUAUUCUCCUAAAGGGACAGGUCGAUUGCGUUUGUUCAAGACAGGAGGCUUGUCCCAGCAAAAGGAAACCGAAGUGGGUGCCUAUUACAUGAGGCACACAUGAUCCCAGAGUGUGACUUUCUUGAGUUAGGGGUGAAGGCAUCAGAGGGCCGUCUAUCAAAACAUCAACACCGCCUGGUAAAUGGAAAGAAGAGUCUACGAUAACAUAUGGUUCCACUCGACAGAGCACUUCCGGUAUCCCUGCAAGUCUUGAUCCGUUCACAAGAUUUGUCUGAAACGAACCUGUAUGGAUAUGGGAAAAUACAUCGGCUACUCUUUCCUUCUUGGUCGUCCAUGGCACAUAUUGAACACGUACUAUUGCAAUCACUU
rnacentral:misc_RNA from 1 species